AUUGAACGCUGGCGGCAGGCUUAACACAUGCAAGUCGAGCGGGGAAAGGUAGCUUGCUACCUGACCUAACGGCGGACGGGUGAGUAAUGCUUAGGAAUCUGCCUAUUAGUGGGGGACAACAUUCCGAAAGGAAUGCUAAUACCGCAUACGCCCUACGGGGGAAAGCAGGGGAUCUUCGGACCUUGCGCUAAUAGAUGAGCCUAAGUCGGAUUAGCUAGUUGGUGGGGUAAAGGCCUACCAAGGCGACGAUCUGUAGCGGGUCUGAGAGGAUGAUCCGCCACACUGGGACUGAGACACGGCCCAGACUCCUACGGGAGGCAGCAGUGGGGAAUAUUGGACAAUGGGCGGAAGCCUGAUCCAGCCAUGCCGCGUGUGUGAAGAAGGCCUUUUGGUUGUAAAGCACUUUAAGCGAGGAGGAGGCUACCUGGAUUAAUACUCUAGGAUAGUGGACGUUACUCGCAGAAUAAGCACCGGCUAACUCUGUGCCAGCCGCCGCGGUAAAAC
rnacentral:rRNA from 1 species